rnacentral:rRNA from 1 species
GACGAACGCUGGCGGCGUGCUUAACACAUGCAAGUCGAACGGAAAGGCCCUGCUUUUGUGGGGUGCUCGAGUGGCGAACGGGUGAGUAACACGUGAGUAACCUGCCCUUGACUUUGGGAUAACUUCAGGAAACUGGGGCUAAUACCGGAUAGGAGCUCCUGCUGCAUGGUGGGGGUUGGAAAGUUUCGGCGGUUGGGGAUGGACUCGCGGCUUAUCAGCUUGUUGGUGGGGUAGUGGCUUACCAAGGCUUUGACGGGUAGCCGGCCUGAGAGGGUGACCGGCCACAUUGGGACUGGGAUACGGCCCAGACUCCUACGGGAGGCAGCAGUGGGGAAUAUUGCACAAUGGGCGGAAGCCUGAUGCAGCAACGCCGCGUGCGGGAUGAUGGCCUUCGGGUUGUAAACCGCUUUCGCCUGUGACGAAGCGUGAGUGACGGUAAUGGGUAAAGAAGCACCGGCUAACUACGUG